UACGUAGGGGGCAAGCGUUGUCCGGAUUUAUUGGGCGUAAAGCGCUCGCAGGUGGUUCGUCGCGUCGUGCGUGAAAGACCCCGGCUCAACUGGGGAGGGUCGUGCGAUACGGGCGGACUGGAGGCCAGUAGGGGGAUGCGGAAUUCCGGGUGUAGUGGUGGAAUGCGUAGAGAUCCGGAGGAGCACCAGCGGCGAAGGCGGCAUCCUGGACUGGUCCUGACACUCAGGAGCGAAAGCGUGGGGAGCGAUCCGG
rnacentral:rRNA from 1 species